rnacentral:rRNA from 1 species
UACGUAGGGUGCAAGCGUUAAUCGGAAUUACUGGGCGUAAAGCGUCUGUAGGUGGCUUUUUAAGUCCGCCGUCAAAUCCCAGGGCUCAACCCUGGACAGGCGGUGGAAACUACCAAGCUGGAGUACGGUGGGGGCAGAGGGAAUUUCCGGUGGAGCGGUGAAAUGCGUAGAGAUCGGAAAGAACACCAACGGCGAAAGCACUCUGCUGGGCCGACACUGACACUGAGAGACGAAAGCUAGGGGGAGCGAAUGGG